rnacentral:rRNA from 1 species
CGGGGUGAGUAAUGCUUGGGAAUCUAGCUUAUGGAGGGGGAUAACUACGGGAAACUGUAGCUAAUACCGCGUAGUAUCGGAAGAUGAAAGUGUGGGACCUUCGGGCCACAUGCCAUAGGAUGAGCCCAAGUGGGAUUAGGUAGUUGGUGAGGUAAAGGCUCACCAAGCCGACGAUCUCUAGCUGGUCUGAGAGGAUGACCAGCCACACUAGGACUGAGACACGGCCCAG